CGUGAGUGAAGAAGGCCUUCGGGUCGUAAAGCUCUGUCAAGCGGGAAUAAAAUUAUACAUUUAAUAGAUGUAUAAUCUGAAGGUACCGCUAAAGGAAGCACCGGCUAACUCCGUGCCAGCAGCCGCGGUAAUACGGAGGGUGCAAGCGUUAUUCGGAUUUAUUGGGCGUAAAGAGCGUGUAGGCGGUUGGGGUAGUCAUAUGUGAAAUCCUUCUGCUCAACAGAAGAAGUGCAUGUGAAACCACCUGACUUGAGUACGAGAGGGGAAAGUGGAAUUCCCAGUGUAGAGGUGAAAUUCGUAGAUAUUGGGAGGAACACCCGUAGCGAAGGCGACUUUCUGGAUCGAUACUGACGCUGAGACGCGAAAGCGUGGGUAGCAAACAGGAUUAGAUACCCUGGUAGUCCACGCCGUAAACGAUGGGAACUAGGUGUAGCGGGUCUUGAUCCCUGCUGUGCCGAAGCUAACGCAUUAA
rnacentral:rRNA from 1 species